rnacentral:lncRNA from 14 species
AUGGGAUGGGAUGGGAUGGGAUGGGAUGGGAUGGGAUGGCAUGGCAUGGCAUGGCAUGGCAUGGCAUGGCACGGCACAGCAUGGUGCUCCCUCUGCCUGGAGCUGGUGUGGCGGUGUGAAGGGCAGAGGAUUGGAGCUGGAGGAUGCCAGAACUGCUUCCCUCUCCCUCUGAGAGGAUCAAUACCACGUUCUGCCUCUCCUCUGUCUCCCUGCAUUGUGCCAGGCCAGGCUGCACCAACGCUCUCCCUCCAACAUGUUAUGGGAUUUGGAAUGGGAAGGGGGAUGCCCAACACUGUCAGUCCCCUUCACUGGGGAGGAGAAGGAGAUGUUUUUGCCAGGGUGGUCUGCUGCAAACACCUGCCCAGACCCACCUUAGCACCCAGGAUCUCCAAGCCAGCCUCAUCCCUGCACAUCAAUCUUUGCCUGCACACCAAACCUUCCCUGUGCACAUCAAUACCUGCCUCUGUACCAAACCCUGCCUGCAAACUAAACUCUGUCCAUGCAUACCAAUCCCUGCCUGCACCUCCUGCCUUGUACACCAAAUUACCUGCACAGCAAACCCUGUCAGCACACCAGGCUCCACCUGCACUCCAAACGCUGCCUGCGCACCAAACCCUGUCCACACACACCCUACCUGCACUCCAAACCCUGCCUGUGCACCAAACCCUGCCUGCACAGCCAGCACUCCCGACGCUGCCCAUGCACGUGCUGACAGCUCCCACUCGCUCUCCCCUUCCUGCUGCACCCCCCGACCCCCGGCAUCGCCCCAAACACCAUCACCUGCGGCACUGGGCAUCACCUGCUGGCACCAGGGCAGCCCAUCAUCCCCUGAGCCCGCUCAUGGCCGGGGGCUCUCGCAGCGCCGAGGGAGUCCCCGGCACACGCCAGCCCUGUCCCGGCCCCGCUGGCAGCCGCGGCCGACGUGCUCCGACAGGUGAGGCCCCGGGGCAGCGUUCCUGCCCGGGCCGGCAACUGUCCCCACCGGGCAGCCGGUUUGCCGGCAUGUUCCUUCCC